rnacentral:rRNA from 1 species
UACCUAGCGGCGAACGGGUGAGGAAUGCUUGGGAAUCUGCCUGGUAGUGGGGGAUAACGUUCCGAAAGGAACGCUAAUACCGCAUACGUCCUACGGGAGAAAGGGGGGGAUCUUCGGACCUCUCGCUAUCAGAUGAGCCCAAGCGGGAUUAGCUAGUUGGUGGGGUAAAGGCCCACCAAGGCGACGAUCCCUAGCUGGUCUGAGAGGAUGAUCAGCCACACUGGAACUGAGACACGGUCCAGACUCCUACGGGAGGCAGCAGUGGGGAAUAUUGGACAAUGGGCGAAAGCCUGAUCCAGCCAUGCCGCGUGUGUGAAGAAGGCCUUCGGGUUGUAAAGCACUUUAAGCGGGGAGGAAGGUUCGUUACUUAAUACGUAACGGAAUUGACGUUACCCGCAGAAUAAGCACCGGCUAACUCUGUGCCAGCAGCCGCGGUAAUACAGAGGGUGCAAGCGUUAAUCGGAAUUACUGGGCGUAAAGCGCGCGUAGGCGGUUGUGUAAGUUGGAUGUGAAAUCCCCGGGCUUAACCUGGGCACUGCAUUCAAAACUGCACGGCUAGAGUAUGGGAGAGGAAGGUAGAAUUCCAGGUGUAGCGGUGAAAUGCGUAGAGAUCUGG